rnacentral:rRNA from 1 species
AGCGUAGGCGGAUUUUUAAGUGAGAUGUGAAAUAUUCGGGCUUAACCUGAGUGCUGCAUUUCAAACUGGAAGUCUAGAGUGCAGGAGAGGAGAAGGGAAUUCCUAGUGUAGCGGUGAAAUGCGUAGAGAUUAGGAAGAACACCAGUGGCGAAGGCGCUUCUCUGGACUGUAACUGACGCUGAGGCUCGAAAGCGUGGGGAGCAAACA